CAUCACACAGGGCCAUGGCCCUGCUGAAGUGGAAAUUAUUGGAGCCUAAAAACAGUGCCUACCACAUUGUGAUCUGAUGGUAGCAGGGGCUGAUCCUAGAAGAUGGGUUUUGAUGCACUUUCAAAUGACUCUUAUGCAUGCUUCAACCCAGCAAGCAGUAGUUCAACUGGAAUGUAACAGUCCCACUUCUCAAGAGCCAUGUCACAGCAACCAGGAGGGCCUGUUUCAGAUGCGUCAGAAAAUCAGCAACAUGCAGUCCACCAGGUGCACAGACGGUGGCUUUGGAUCUCUGUCUGCACGUUUGGAUAUGGAAAAAAGUUUCCCAACUCAUCUCCCGCUGGUUCUACAUCUCACCUUCAUUUCUGCUCAGAGCUUCUCUUCCUUAAGGCUCACAAGAGCGGCACACAUCCCGGCGCUCUCUCUCCUCGCUCUGAGUCCGUGUCUGAGGAGGACAGAGCUGCGUGGGCCUGAGGCCACUGGUCCUCCAGGUGCUGUGCAGACAUCACCACCAACCAGAGAGCUGUGGCCGGAAGAGCUGCGAACCCCAUCUCUCAGCACACACAGACCCUUAUUUCUUGACAACUUACUAUUAGCUCAGCAAAACGAUGAGCACUUUCAUUCAUGUCUAAGGGAAGUGCAGUAUUACCUAGAAGAGGCAUCUGUUGCCAUUUUAGAUUUAAAUUUUUAUUUUUUAAAUUGCCGCGGAAUGCAUGUCUGCAGGGUGCACCAUUCCCACUCCUGGAGCACACAGCACACCUUAACCCCGUUCCCACCCCUUUCCUUCUCCCCGCACUCCCGCUCCAGCCCUCAAUCCCCUUCCCAUCUGGGGAAGAUCUACAUGCCUACCUCCUAUCAUCC
rnacentral:lncRNA from 1 species